UACGAAGGGGGCUAGCGUUGCUCGGAAUCACUGGGCGUAAAGCGCACGUAGGCGGGUCCUUAAGUCAGGGGUGAAAUCCUGGAGCUCAACUCCAGAACUGCCUUUGAUACUGAGGAUCUCGAGUUCGGGAGAGGUGAGUGGAACUGCGAGUGUAGAGGUGAAAUUCGUAGAUAUUCGCAAGAACACCAGUGGCGAAGGCGGCUCACUGGCCCGAUACUGACGCUGAGGUGCGAAAGCGUGGGGAGCAACAGGG
rnacentral:rRNA from 1 species